rnacentral:misc_RNA from 1 species
CAAACUAUCCAUCCCAAGGAAGAGUCUGAAAAUCACAGCAAAGGGGAUCAGUCUGUGCAGUUUGAGUCAGAGAAUGAUGUUAAGCCAACAAAUUUAAUUGAAAGAGCCAAGGAAGAGAUCGAAGUAAUAAUCCACCAUAAGAAUUCGCCUCGCAUUCAUCACAAAGAAACUCAUGGAAAGGGAGAUGACAUUGAUGAGACCACUCCGAUUGAUGAAAUCAAAGGGCCAAGUAUUUUCCAACGAGCUAAGGAAGAAAUCGAAGCCCUUGUUGAAACCAUCCACCC